GUGAUUUUCAUUCUAGCCGUUCAUCCAAUAAGCAGCCUGAGGAAAGCGUUGAGUAAAAGCUUCUCAGCCAAUCAGCGGCUUUUACCCCACGUGUGGACUGCCUGCCCACAGGCUGCAAUACGCACGUUGAUUCUGCUGGGAAAAUCAUCACCUGUACAGCAAAACUCAGACCUACAGAAAUUAAAUUAUGGACAAGCAGAGGAUGGAGCUGAACAUUAGCGUCAAGCCCGACACAUACGGCUUCAUGAGAGCCGCUGCUGCCUGCUUGCCACGUGACAAGGCUCUCAUCCGGCCCGCCUGAGCGCACUUUUCCAUUCCGGUGGAAGACGCAGAGCACACUGGUUUUGUGCAGCAGCAUAAAAGAAAGGCAAAGGCCAACAAGACCAUGAACGAAAAAAAAGAAACACUCUUAGAAGUGCUCAACGCAUGCCCCUGUGAUAUUUUCCCCAACAUGAACAGCCUCCUCACAUUGCCCAUGAUGACGACAAGUAGGCCUACUGUGGAGAGACUCUUUUCAGCUGUCAAUCGAAUAAAAACAGGCACCAGGGCAACAAUGUUGACGGAUAGACUGAACUCGUUGUCCCUGCUUUCAUUUGAAAGGGAAUUGACUGAUUCACUGGAAUAUCAAAAAAUUCUUGCUGUGUUCAGCAUGAAACCCCGCCGCCUCCUGCCGUCAGCCCCGAGUCCCACAAGCAAGUUUGAAUUAAAUUGUGUGCAUUUGUGAUUAUUUAUUUGUUAUCGUAUUGAAAUCGUUCCCUAUCAUGGAUGUAGUGCACUAAAUAGGGUGCACGCCAUUUUGUAGGGUGUUCGAAUUCUCAGUGGUCCACUAUAUAGUGCACUAUAUAGUGGACUUAAAAUAGGGUACAUACGAUGUUCCCUACAUGUUACUCCCGUAUACCACAAUGCAAUGCGGUUAUAUUUUUCCAGGGGAGAAGAAGCUGAAUAACCGCGAAAAUGAAUACAUUUAAUGAUGGAGUCUCCGGCUUGUGUUUAGAAAUGUCAUCAAUUUAUUUGGGAUUUAACAUAGAAUAUU